UCGCUUGCCAGGGGACUACGAGCCCCAGCUUGAAACCCAAAGGACUUGGCGGUGCUUUAGACCCCCCUAGAGGAGCCUGUUCUAGAACCGAUAACCCCCGUUUAACCUCACCCCCUCUUGUUCCCCCCGCCUAUAUACCGCCGUCGUCAGCUUACCCUGUGAAGGACUAACAGUGAGCAUAAUUGGCACAGCCUAAAACGUCAGGUCGAGGUGUAGCGUAUGAGGGGGGAAGAAAUGGGCUACAUUCACUGAGCCAGUGAAUAACGAACGAUGCUUUGAAACAACCAUCUGAAGGAGGAUUUAGCAGUAAGAGGGCAGUAGAGCGCCCCUC
rnacentral:rRNA from 1 species